CAACGCAGGAAUCUGUUGGUUUGGAAUUGAGGCAAUCUGAUCAAAGCAGUGAAAUAGUGCUUGAAGGAGAACAGCGCCUUCCUUUCUCUGAGCCUUGUGAGAGUUCCGAUGCUCUUUCAAGGUUAGCUUCAGUAAAGACUGGCAUGAAGGAGGCAUCCUGCUACUGACCCUUGUGAAAGUUCUGAUACCGUUUCAAGGUAAUUAGCUUCAAUAAAGACUGGCACGAAGGAGGCAUCCUGCGAAGCAGAGCAAACUGGUGAGUCAGGAAAAGUAUGUGCAUCUGCUGGUUCGACCUUGUCGUAUGGAUUUUCAGCUUCCAUUUUGGCUUUACACGAGGCAUAUGGGAUUUCAUCUGCUAAUCUUGCCAUGAAAAAAUGGAAGGGAGAAGGUUCAUCUUACCAAGAAAACUCGGCCAUGCCUUUUCCGUUUGAUAAACAAAAGGACAGUGCCGGGGACUUCGCUUACACCUCAAGUCCGCAGUUUGAGCAAAGCCAAUAAUGACCAAGUUGCCAUUGCUAUAGACCUGGAUCCUAAUACUGGUGGUAAAUUAGAAGAUGAAGACGAUGAUAAAGGUGAACCUAGAAGAAUACAGGAUUUCUUGUGAUCGGGCUCAGGUGCGACGACCAGCUUUAUGGCUUGGAAAUAAUCUAUUGGGCCAUAUUGCAUGCACUUCUGGCCACUCUAGUGGUUUGAGAAAAAACGUUCUGGUCAGUCUUCCUCUCUUAUUACCAUGACACAAGAAAUAGAUUGAGAAUUUGUUUACUCCAAAACCAACCGAGCUAUCGAAGGUUUGCACUUUUACGACUGUUGUAUUUACAGCUCUCUAUAAUCGUAAAACUUGUACCAACAAAAGUUUGUGUCUGCGCUUUACGCACGUGUUUCGUGCCCGCCAAAUUCGCUUCUGCUUAAUUUAGCUAG